rnacentral:rRNA from 2 species
AUUUCAGACUUUGAUUAUGGCUCAGGACGAACGCUGGCGGCGUGCUUAACACAUGCAAGUCGAACGGAGUACCCUCGAAAGAGAUUUCGGUCAAUGGAGAGGAAUACUUAGUGGCGGACGGGUGAGUAACGCGUGAGGAACCUGCCUUUCAGAGGGGGACAACAGCUGGAAACGACUGCUAAUACCGCAUAACACAUUGGUAUCGCAUGGUACUGAUGUCAAAGAUUUUAUCACUGAGAGAUGGCCUCGCGUCUGAUUAGCUAGUUGGUGAGGUAACGGCCCACCAAGGCAACGAUCAGUAGCCGGACUGAGAGGUUGGCCGGCCACAUUGGGACUGAGAUACGGCCCAGACUCCUACGGGAGGCAGCAGUGGGGAAUAUUGGGCAAUGGGCGCAAGCCUGACCCAGCAACGCCGCGUGAAGGAAGAAGGCUUUCGGGUUGUAAACUUCUUUUAAGAGGGAAGAGCAGAAGACGGUACCUCUUGAAUAAGCCACGGCUAACUACGUGCCAGCAGCCGCGGUAAUACGUAGGUGGCAAGCGUUGUCCGGAUUUACUGGGUGUAAAGGGCGUGUAGCCGGGCUGACAAGUCAGAUGUGAAAUCCACGGGCUUAACCCGUGAACUGCAUUUGAAACUGUUGGUCUUGAGUAUCGGAGAGGCAGGCGGAAUUCCUAGUGUAGCGGUGAAAUGCGUAGAUAUUAGGAGGAACACCAGUGGCGAAGGCGGCCUGCUGGACGACAACUGACGGUGAGGCGCGAAAGCGUGGGGAGCAAACAGGAUUAGAUACCCUGGUAGUCCACGCUGUAAACGAUGGAUACUAGGUGUGCGGGGACUGACCCCCUGCGUGCCGCAGCUAACGCAAUAAGUAUCCCACCUGGGGAGUACGAUCGCAAGGUUGCAACUCAAAUGAAUUGACGGA